UACGUAGGGUGCGAGCGUUAUCCGGAAUCAUUGGGCGUAAAGAGCUCGUAGGCGGUUCAACAAGUCGGCUGUGAAAGUCCGGGGCUCAACCCCGGAAUUGCAGUCGAUACUGUUGUGACUUGAGUCCGGUAGAGGAGAAUGGAAUUCCCGGUGUAGCGGUGGAAUGCGCAGAUAUCGGGAGGAACACCAGUAGCGAAGGCGGUUCUCUGGGCCGGCACUGACGCUGAGGAGCGAAAGCGUGGGGAGCAAACAGGAUUAGAUACCCCCGUAGU
rnacentral:rRNA from 1 species